GACGAACGCUGGCGGCGUGCUUAACACAUGCAAGUCGAACGGAAAGGCCUUUUCGGAGGUACUCGAGUGGCGAACGGGUGAGUAACACGUGGGUGAUCUGCCCUGCACUCUGGGAUAAGCCUGGGAAACUGGGUCUAAUACCGGAUAGGACCGCACUUUAGUGUGUGUGGUGGAAAGUUUUUUCGGUGUAGGAUGAGCCCGCGGCCUAUCAGCUUGUUGGUGGGGUAAUGGCCUACCAAGGCGGCGACGGGUAGCCGGACUGAGAGGUUGGUCGGCCACAUUGGGCCUGCGAUACGGACCAGACUCCUACGGGAGGCAGCAGUGGGGAAUAUUGCACAAUGGGCGCAAGCCUGAUGCAGCGACGCCGCGUGGGGGAUGACGGCCUUCGGGUUGUAAACUCCUUUCGCCAGGGACGACGCGUUUUGUGACGGUACCUGGAGAAGAAGCACCGGCUAACUACGUG
rnacentral:rRNA from 1 species